AAUCUUCCAGCAUGGACGAUAGUCUGAUGGAGCAACGCCGCGUGAGUUAAGAAGAUUUUCGGAUCGUAAAACUCUGUCAUUGUGGAAGCAUAAAUGCCGGUCCCCAAUGAGGAAGCCCCGGCUCACUACGUCCCAGCAGCCUCGGUAAUACGUAGGGGGCGAGCGUUGUCCGGAAUUACUGGGCGUAAAGGGUACGUAGGCGGCUAUAUAAGUCAGGUGUGAAAUACCAGUGCUUAACACUGGAAUUGCAUUUGAAACUGUGUAGCUUGAGUGCAGGAGAGGAAAGUGGAAUUACUAGUGUAGCGGUGAAAUGCGUAGAGAUUAGGAGGAACACCAGUGGCGAAGGCGACUUUCUGGACUGUAACUGACGCUGAGGUACGAAAGCGUGGGUAGCGAACA
rnacentral:rRNA from 1 species